AGUCUGAAAGUUAAUCGUGUGGAUCUCAAACCUUCUUCCAGACUUCAGUCAAAAUAAUGUUAGAAAGAAAUGAAUUGUGAACAUUUGUGUUUUUCCUGGUGACGGAAACUCAAGGCUUCAGUUUGUAAGAUUAGUUACUAUAUUACUAUAGAUAGCAAACCUGACUUUUCUAUCUCAGGGUAUGGAAUGCUCUUUCCCACUCCACCUCUUUAAUCUCUAGUGUAGGAAAAGACAAAAGGUUUUGUUUUGUGGAACGGACCGGACAGACAUGAAGAUAUUUUAAACUCUGACUUCAUUCUAAAGUCAUUUCAGCCAGGUGUGUCGAGCUCUUAGUUCAAUCAAUCAAAUAGUAUUCAUACAUCCCAACAUCACAACCAUCACUAUCUAAGGGGCUCCACUGCACCCUCUUCUCGUGAGGACAAGAAAGCAACUUGUGAGCAUGAGAAUGUUUCUUCUGAAUGUGUGAUUGAUGUAAUGCUCUGUGACGUGUCCGUAGGAAGCUUCUGAGGAGCUGCAGAGUGAACCAGCAGGGGGCGCUGAGGAGCAGAAACCCUCAGGACCUGUUGGAGUGGAGUUCGUCCGGCCGGUCGUGGGAUAUUUGUGUAACUUGUGUCAGCUGAUCUACGCUGAGGAAGACGAGGCUAAAGUGAAGCACUGCAGCAGCCUGGAGCACUACAGGAAGUACCAGGAGCAGACGGGCAGAGAUCCGUGGAGCCCGGUCUGAUUUUUAUUUUGAUAUUUUUCUUAAAUGUAAUUGUUCGUUAAAAGUGUUUGGAACCGUGUCUGUUGGGAUCAGCUGAGAGAAAGGCUUCUGUUUUUAUUCAUGUACAUUUCUUUGUAGUAAAACAUGAGAAAAGAACGCUUUUGUUCAACUGGUUUAUUUAAAAAAAAAAACAUGACGUUAGUGUACAGGAAGUGAAGCCUAACAACUGGAACUACUUUCUCUCUCAUUCAGCGGAUGGAUGAGUUACUUCCACCACAAACCAUGCUAACAGUUUCCCUACGUUUACACUCAUUACGCUAAGCUAAGCUAACCCAAAAUGUUGAACAUGGAUAUCUUUACUUAAAGGGUGCUGUGAACGUGUCAGCUGUUCAUUAGAACUCCUAAUAUGGACAUGUGAGCGUGGGACAGAUCUGUGGACACAAUCUGAAAUAAAACAUUUAAAAAAAAUCUA